rnacentral:rRNA from 1 species
AGAACGAACGCUGGCGGCAGGCCUAACACAUGCAAGUCGAGCGAGAACUUCGGUUCUAGCGGCGGACGGGUUAGUAACGCGUGGGAACGUGCCCUUCACUACGGAAUAGUCCCGGGAAACUGGGUUUAAUACCGUAUACGCUUCGGGGGAAAGAAUUUCGGUGAAGGAUCGGCCCGCGUUAGAUUAGAUAGUUGGUGGGGUAACGGCCUACCAAGUCUACGAUCUAUAGCUGGUUUUAGAGGAUGAUCAGCAACACUGGGACUGAGACACGGCCCAGACUCUACGGGAGGCAGCAGUGGGGAAUCUUAGACAAUGGGCGCAAGCCUGAUCUAGCCAUGCCGCGUGAGUGAUGAAGGCCUUAGGGUCGUAAAGCUCUUCGCCAGGGAUGAUAAUGACAGUACCUGGUAAAGAAACCCGGCUAACUCCGUGCCAGCAGCCGCGGUAAUACGGAGGGGGUUAGCGUUGUUCGGAAUUACUGGGCGUAAAGCGCGCGUAGGCGGAUUGGAAAGUUGGGGGUGAAAUCCCAGGGCUCAACCCUGGAACUGCCUCCAAAACUAUCAGUCUAGAGUUCGAGAGAGGUGAGUGGAACUCCGAGUGUAGAGGUGAAAUUCGUAGAUAUUCGGAAGAACACCAGUGGCGAAGGCGGCUCACUGGCUCGAUACUGACGCUGAGGUGCGAAAGUGUGGGGAGCAAACAGGAUUAGAUACCCUGGUAGUCCACACCGUAAACGAUGAAUGCCAGUCGUCGGAUAGCAUGCUAUUCGGUGACACACCUAACGGAUUAAGCAUUCCGCCUGGGGAGUACGGUCGCAAGAUUAAAACUCAAAGGAAUUGACGGGGGCCCGCACAAGCGUGGAGCAUGUGGUUUAAUUCGAAGCAACGCGCAGAACCUUACCAACCCUUGACAUCCUGAUCGCGGUUUCUCGAGAGAGAUUCCUUCAGUUCGGCUGGAUCAGUGACAGGUGCUGCAUGGCUGUCGUCAGCUCGUGUCGUGAGAUGUUCGGUUAAGUCCGGCAACGAGCGCAACCCACAUCCCUAGUUGCCAGCAGUUCGGCUGGGCACUCUAUGGAAACUGCCCGUGAUAAGCGGAGGAAGGUGUGGAUGACGUCAGUCCUCAUGGCCCUUACGGGUUGGGCUACACACGUGCUA